UAUCCCCCAAACCAAGGGGGGAUGAGAACCACCGACCGGGGUUCGACAACUGGCGCAGCCAGUUGGACAGACGAUGAGCUUGCGAGGAGACUGCCCGAAGGGCGAGCGCAGCGAGUCAAUCCCCCCCUCACCGCCA
rnacentral:sRNA from 1 species